UACGUAGGGUGCGAGCGUUGUCCGGAAUUAUUGGGCGUAAAGAGCUUGUAGGCGGUUUGUCGCGUCUGCUGUGAAAAUCCGGGGCUCAACCCCGGACUUGCAGUGGGUACGGGCAGACUAGAGUGUGGUAGGGGAGACUGGAAUUCCUGGUGUAGCGGUGAAAUGCGCAGAUAUCAGGAGGAACACCAAUGGGCGAAGGCAGCUCGCU
rnacentral:rRNA from 1 species